rnacentral:rRNA from 1 species
AUUGAACGCUGGCGGCAGGCCUAACACAUGCAAGUCGCACGAGUGGCGGACGGGUGAGUAAUGUCUGGGAAACUGCCCGAUGGAGGGGGAUAACUACUGGAAACGGUAGCUAAUACCGCAUACCAUCGGAUGUGCCCAUGUGGGAUUAGCUCGUAGGUGGGGUAACGGCUCACAUAGGGGACGAUCCCUAGCUGGUCUGAGAGGAUGACCAUCCACACUGGAAAUGAGACACGGUCCAGACUCCGACGGGAGGCAGCAGUGGGGAAUAUUGCACAAUGGGCGCAAGCCUGAUGCAGCCAUGCCGCGUGUAUGAAGAAGGCCUUCGGGUUGUAAAGUACUUUCAGCGGGGAGGCGUUACCCGCAGAAGAAGCACCGGCUAACUCCGUGCCAGCCGCCGCGGUAAUAC